rnacentral:rRNA from 1 species
UUUAAACAACGGAUCUCUUGUUUUCUGGCAUCGAUGAAGAACGCAGCGAAAUGCAAUAAGUAAUGUGAAUUGCAGAAUUCAGUGAAUCAUCGAAUCUUUGAACGCACAUUGCGCCCGCCAGCAUUCUGCGGCAUGCCUGUUCGAGCGUC